rnacentral:rRNA from 1 species
ACUGACGAGUUUGAUCAUGGCUCAGAUUGAACGCUGGCGGCAUGGCUAAAACAUGCAAGUCGAACGAUCCCUUCGGGGAGAGUGGCGAAAGGGCGAGGAAUAGAAUCGAAUGUACCCCAAGGUGGGGGAUAGCCUCUGGAAACGGAGGGUAAUACCCCAUGUGCUCUACGGAGGAAAGGUUUACCGCCUUGGGAGCAGCGAUUCUCCUAUCAGGUAGUUGGUGAGGUAACGGCUCACCAAGCCGAAGACGGGUAGCGGGUGUGAGAGCAUGACCCGCCGCAUCGGGACUGAGACACUGCCCGGACUCCUACGGGAGGCUGCAGUAACGAAUCUUCCGCAAUGGGCGAAAGCCUGACGGAGCAAUGCCGCGUGUGGGAUGAAGCAUCUUCGAUGUGUAAACCACUGUCAGGGUCUAGGAAUACUGACCAGACCCAAAGGAAGGGCCGGCUAAUUCCGUG